rfam:Rickettsia akari str. Hartford, complete genome.
AACAUACUUGCUUUUAUGGAAAAAGUCAUUAUAAUCUGAAUCUAGUGUAUUUUACAAAUUCUUAUAAUUUGUAUUUAGAAAUUAUUCAAAAUAAAGGGUGGAAGUAUUUUGCUCCCUUUAUUUAUCUGUAUA